ACUAACGCUGGCGGCGUGCCUAACACAUGCAAGUCGAACGAGAAGCCCGCAAGGGUUGUAAAGUGGCGGACGGGUGCAUAACACGUGGGUAAUCUACCCUUUGGUCUGAGAUAACCUGCCGAAAGGCGGGCUAAUACCGGAUAAGACCACGGCUCUGAGGAGCUGUGGGAAAAGGCCCGCAAGGGUCGCCGAUCGAUGAGCCCGCGGCCUAUCAGGUAGUUGGUGAGGUAAUGGCUCACCAAGCCUACGACGGGUAGCUGGUCUGAGAGGACGACCAGCCACACUGGAACUGAGACACGGUCCAGACUCCUACGGGAGGCAGCAGUGGGGAAUAUUGCGCAAUGGGCGAAAGCCUGACGCAGCAACGCCGCGUGGGUGAUGAAGGCCUUCGGGUUGUAAAGCCCUGUCGCCCGGGACGAAUAAGCUCGUGAAGAACGAGCCCUGACGGUACCGGGAGAGGAAGCACCGGCUAACUCUGU
rnacentral:rRNA from 1 species